GACGACGCUGGCGGCGUGGAUUAGGCAUGCAAGUCGGACGGUAGGGCUUUAUCGUAAGAUAGAGUUUGAGAGUGGCGAACGGGUGAGUAACACGUAGGAAUCUACCCUUAAGACGGGGACAACCCAGGGAAACUUGGGCUAAUACCGGAUGAGAGUGCGAGAGAUUGCAUUUAAAAGGAUGGCGAAAGUUGUCGCUUAGGGAUGAGCCUGCGGUCUAUUAGUUAGUUGGUGAGGUAAGAGCUCACCAAGGCGAUGAUAGAUAGGCGGCCGUUAACGGGUGGUCGCCCACACGUGGGAUUGAGAUACGGCCCAGACUCCUACGGGAGGCAGCAGUCGAGAAUAGUCUACAAUGGCCGGAAGGCUGAUAGUGCGACGCCGCGUGAACGAGGGAGCCCUUCGGGGUGUAAAGUUCUUUUAUAUGUGAGCAGUGCUUCUUAUAUUAACAGUAUGGGGAGAGAGAUAUUAGCAUAUGAAUAAGCAACGGCUAACUCCGUG
rnacentral:rRNA from 1 species